rnacentral:lncRNA from 1 species
UGUGAUCGCACCACUGCAGCCUAGAACCUCCCGGGCUCAAGGGAUCCUCCUGCUGCAGCCUCCUGAGUAGCUAGGACUAUAGGCAUGCGCUACCAGGCCUGACUUUUUUUUUUUUUUUUUUUUUGUAGAAAUGGGGUUUUACUGUGUUGUCCAGGCUGGUCUUAGGGUUGAAUUCCUCCUGCCUCAGCCUCCCAAAGUGCUGGGAUUACAGGCAUGAGCCGCCACACCUGGCCGGGAUUGUGCUGAAUAUGUAGAUCAAUUCGAGGAGCACUGCCCAUCCAUCCUUGAACAUGGGCCCCGUCUCCAUUUACUUAAGCCUCUUUUAAUUUGUCUCAACAAUAUUUUGUCUUUUUCAGCAUAUAAGCCUUGCACUUUUUUUGUUACAUUUAUUCCUAAGUAUUUUGUUAUUCUUUAUGCUAUUGUGAAUGAAAUUGUUCUCUUAUUUCUAUUUUCAGAAUGUUUGUUGCCAGUAUAUAUAAAAUAAAACACUAUUUAUU